AGAGAUAAAUGGGUUUAGGUUCUGGGCUCCAAAACAACCAAACAAUCACAAAAAUCAAGACUGCGUACACACUCUUGGUGCGAAGGAAGGGUACACUUGGGAUGACGUGUCAUGCAAUAACUGUUACAACUUUACUUGUUUUAAAGUUAUAGACGAGUGUGCAACUAAUCACCAUAGCUGUAAUGUCAAUGCAAUUUGUCACAAUAUCGUGGGAUCGUACAAUUGUACUUGCAAAGCUGGUUUCUACGGAAAUGGAAGAAAAUGCUUUGAUAUAGACGAGUGUAGCAUCAACUCCGACAGCUGUAAUGUUAAUGCUGUUUGUAAUAACACGGAGGGAGGCCAUAACUGUACCUGCAAGCAUGGAUUCAUUGGAAAUGGAAGAAACUGUACAGGUAACUAUCCACUAUACUGAAGACA